UACGUAGGUUGCAAGCGUUGUCCGGAUUUAUUGGGUUUAAAGGGUGCGUAGGCGGUUUAUUAAGUCAGGGGUGAAAGACGGCAGCUUAACUGUCGCAGUGCCUUUGAUACUGAUGAACUUGAAUGUACUAGAAGUAGGCGGAAUGUGACAAGUAGCGGUGAAAUGCAUAGAUAUGUCACAGAACACCGAUUGCGAAGGCAGCUUACUAUGGUAUGAUUGACGCUGAGGAACGAAAGCGUGGGGAUCAAACAGG
rnacentral:rRNA from 1 species